UCAGAUAUAGCUACGGAGCUCUUGCACAAUCUAUGCGGGUUUGAAUCCUUGAUGUUUCCGAGCUUGAUUCGAUGGCGUUUCAGCAGCAGAUCCGAGUCUUAUGAAGGCUGAAGGUGCUCUACACCGAAUCUAUGUGAAUGCUACAAUUGUAAUUUGAUGACUGGGAAUCUGAAGAGAUGGGUGUUUAUGGGGUUAAUUGGGUACGCAUCGGAUGUAUGAGAUGUCGGGACUAAAGGCUCGGUGGAAGAGCUGAGUCCUGGACCGAUCUUUGUCAUCCGGCCUUUGCCAUGGCAGGUGCGCUUGCAUGGCAGGUCAAAAAAAUCUCAAUAAAAAAAAUAACAUCGUUUGUGGUUUGGAGGGGAGACAGCAUGGGUCUUUUUUGGCCCAGGGUCUCCCCUCCGGUGUGUGGUGUGCCCUCCUUUCUCUGUUGUGUUGUGUUUGUUUUUGCUCUACUGCUCACAUAUGCAUUUGAAUUCGGAUUCAGCACAGCAACGACGACGGCAUAUCUCACCGCCAAAGGUACUAUCUGACUACGCCUAUUUCAAUUGAUAUGAAUCUAUCUAAUCAUGUUACUAUCACAUCUCCGGUUACACAGCAAACCCAUUUUUAUUGUGUACAAUUAAUUUGCCUCGUGCUCAAACCACUUCAACUUAAUUUAGGGGAUUAAUCAUAUUUUUAGAGUAAUGCUAGGAGAUUAAAUUGUGUAAAUUAAAUGAUAAAGAAGUUGAUGAGUGGAUUAUUUCUUAAUUGUUGAUAAAUGUGUCUAUUUUAAGGAAAAUUAAUAAAAUGAUAUUGAAAACUUUGAAUUUUAAAGAUAAUAAAAUAAAAGAAAUUUUAACGAAAAGCUAUUGGUAUUGCAUAUUGUAAUGAAAAAUCAUAUUUUUACAUUAAAAAGUUAAUUCUGUUACUAUUUAUUUUUAUUUUAAGGAAAACUAAUGAAAAUGACUUGAAAACUUUGAGUUUUAACAAAAAUGACAAACUAAAGAGUAAAGUAAAUAGUAUCUGAAUUAAUUUUUGUGUAAAAAUAUGGUUUUUAUUAAAGUAAACAAUACCGGGAUAUUUUUCGUUAAAAAUCUCUAUUUUAACAUUAUAUAGUUUGUAAAUUUAAUCUUUCUAGUAUUAAGUCCAACAUCUAAUCUUGUUUUAAAAACGGAUGAAACCAAAUAUAACUGGGUAUCCUAAAUAUAACUAGGUUGUUAGAGAUAUUAUAUUGUGUAAAAUAAAACAUGAAAAAUGAUUGGAGUAUUACUUAAUACUGAUUAACAUGUUUUUUUUUUAUAUUAUUGAUAGAUGAUUUAAUUUGUAAAUUUAGUUUAUAAAUAUGGCCUUCCUAGUAUUAUUAAAUUGCAGUGUUCCUUCAAACCGCUAAACUGAUUUUCAAAGUAGUAGUAAGUUAUAAGACAGUAGUUACAAUUGUUACCAAUUAAUAUGUUACACUCGGUGGAUCUAAAACCUUAACGGAUAUGGAUUUUUACCAUGUCUGGCUUAAUGUUCAAAUUAACCUAGAAUGUUGGUAAAUAAAUUUUAAUUUUGUAAGGCUUGAGCACUCGUUGUAAUAUAACCUACGUUGUUAUUGUGAUUCAUAUUUAUGAAACUGUUCAUGCUUGCAAUCUUUUCCAAUAUCGCCUCGUGCUUUUGUUACGACACUCCGGUGUAUGAGCGGAAAUUUUCAUUACGUGUUGCUGUGUGAGUUGAUGCUUAAGUUUUAUUUUGUAUACUAAUUGCGGGAGGGUAUUGAUUGCGAUCGAUGUUAUGAUGUAUUCUUGGAUAGGAUGCUGUAUGGAUCCUAUGUAAUUUUGUUGCCUGUGGCUGCUACUGCUUUAAGAUUUGGAAAUUGUAUACCCCUUAGAUGGCAUUAAGGUCAUUUUCAAUGAAGAGGGUUAUUGGGUCAAAGAGAACUUUCUGGUUUUCUUUCGGUUGGAGAUGGUCCAAGAAGUUGGAUUGGCGGGCCACUGAGUUCUCUCUUAUCUAUGAAGCCGGAGGCCUAUUUGUUUCCGUUCAAUUGCAAUCUCGAAUACAUGCAUGCUUGGCUGUGGAAAUGAUGAAAUCCCGUCUGCAAUCUCUACUUGGGGAUCUUGAGGUGAAUAAUGAAAUGAGUUUGGCUUCCCUUCGUCUUUUACAACUUAUUGUGAGGAAUACUUGAUUCAAACAUUUUAUGCCAAGAUAAAGGAUUUUGGUAUGAUAAAUUUUUAGUCUAAAUUAUAUUAGUAAUGUUAAAUUUUUAGGCGAGCAAAGAAUUUUGGUAUGUUAAAUUUGUGAACCUGCUCUUUUUUGGGAGAUUUUUCAGCAUAUUCAGAUCACAAGAUAGCCACACCACACGAUAGAUGGAAAUGGAUAUUGUGAAAGAUUUUUGUGAAUUAGACAUGCAACUCUUACUUGUAUUAUAUAAGUUGUAUUAUUUAAGGGUGAGUUUGGUAUUGUUAUGCUUUGAAAAAAAAAAAAUGGUUUUUAUUGUACUGUCGUACUGUGAGAAUAAACAGUUAUCAAGUAAAAUUGUUGAGUGUUUGAUUAACUAUUAUAUAAAUUGCUGCGAAUUUUUUUGAAUGACUAAAAAUAAUAAGAUUUUAAUGUGAUCUUACAUUUCCAUUUUAAUUUUGUCAUUGGCAACCGGUUUUUAUUUUUUAUUUUUUUAAACACGUUUAAUGUUAUAAUUAAUAAACUAUUAUUUUUAAAGAACCAUAAUUUUAAAUCAAUCGUUAUUUUUAUUGUGGUCUUUUUCUUUUCGAACAUUAGUGCUGGGUUUUUACCUCUUGAGAAUUUCUAUGUCGUAUGCCACUUGAAAAACAAAUUUCGUGGCUUCUGCUGCAAUUUUUUUUUACUACGACAAAAAUAUCAAAUGAGUCAGAUCAAAGUAUGCUUUAAUAUUAUUGAAAUUUGGUUUAAACAAUGGCUGCACAUAGUUGCUUCCAUUUUUUUCACCUAAUAACAAAGUAUGCUCGAGUCUUAAUUGAAUUUCUUGACUUGUUUGAAAUGAAGAUAUGUAAGAGCAAGUUCAUCCCAAGGGGUAGGUUGGCUCAAAGCACAAAUGAUGGACCGGCACUCCCCAGAAGUCCUCCACCCCAUCCUAAUAGGCUGGCAUCCAGCCAAAGCCAGGCCGUAGGCUGGCCUAAAAUGUGCUGAGCAAUUAGCUAGCCUCUGUGACGUAAAGUUGGCGUUAGCAUGAUGUCAUAGCACAUUGAAAUUUUUUUUUCGUCUUGCGAGUGGAAGCACGCGGGCGUAGGCAUGCGUUCCCGACAAAAAAAAGGCUAUGGGGUCUACCGUUGUAGUCGUGGUAGAGGAGGCGGGGUAGACACCAUUUGGCUCGUUCUAGGUCCAAUGGCUAGUUUUCUGGAUCGUUAGAUUUUCAAUGGUAAAAAAAAUUUGAAAAUCAUAUCCAACGGCUAGUGACGUGGUGAUUUCUGAGUCGUUCGAUCCAGGGCACAAUGGUCAGAAUUAGUACCGUUGGCCACGUGUCAACAUUUGGGCUGUUGGAUUUGAGUCUUUUUCAAAUCCAAUAGUCCAAAUUAAUUAACUUAAUUAAAAUUAAGAAAAAUUGUUUUAAAGAUACAGAAAAGUAAAAAAAAAAAUUUAAUUCCUAACCAUCAUCUUCCACCUUACACCACAUUUCAAUAUUUUUAAAAUUUCAAUUUACUUUUUUGUGGAAAAAAUGGCUACGUGGAAGCUUAUCGAAGAUGUUACGUUGUGUCAAUGCUGGGUUUAAAUUACUCAUGACUCGCUUAUGGGUAAUGAGAUGGAGUUGCAAGAAAUUUGGGUUUUCGAAGGUACUCAUUGGUGUACAGGGCUUCGAUUGCGGAGCGAAAUCGCAUCAGGGGCUCAAGAACAGUUGUUUUUCCCAUCCUCACUAUCUCAACCAUUUGAUCUACAGAUGCUAUAUAUAUAAGAAUAUGUAAGGAAGCCGUGAUUUUUUGUUCAGGAAGAAGAGUUAGAACAUGAAAAGCAUCUUUUUUUUGCACAAAGUAUGGACCAUGGUUGCAAAUAGCACUCAUGAUUUUGUCGAACAAACUUCGUUGCAUUCUAAAACGACAUAUAAAAAUAUGUUCAAGGAAUACAGUGUAGGGGAUAAAAUAAUAUUCCAAGAGAUCUUUACCUUCUCUUUCCCUCUUUCUAUUAAAGUUUGCGGCGCGUCUAGGUUUGGCUAUCUAAUCCACAGCUUCCAUGACAUGACGGGAAUGUGAGGCCCUAUGCCUUCUAUCUUCAUCAUCCUCAUCCUCUUUCAUCACGAAAGCCUCAUCUCCACCUUCCUCCACAUUGAACAAUUCUUCCGGUUGUGCCAACAAUUUUUUCUGGUGCUCAUCAAUUUAAUACAUUCUCCUUGAAAAAGACAUUGUAAGAACUCAAGAUUUAAAAACGAUAAAGAAUGAUUCUGAGCUAAAAA